UACGGAGGGUGCAAGCGUUAUCCGGAUUCACUGGGCUUAAAGGGUGCGUAGGUGGGUUGGUAAGUCAGUGGUGAAAUCUCCAGGCUUAACUUGGAAACUGCCAUUGAUACUAUCAAUCUUGAAUACCGUGGAGGUCAGCGGAAUAUGUCAUGUAGCGGUGAAAUGCUUAGAUAUGACAUAGAACAUCGAUUGCGAAGGCAGCUCGCUACGCUAUUAUUGACACUGAGGCACGAAAGCGUGGGGAUCAAACAGG
rnacentral:rRNA from 1 species